GGCGGACUUGCCAGAGGAAAGAAUGGAAAUGACACCUCCUUUUACGUAUUGUGGCAUUGAUUGCUUUGGACCAUUUUAUGUGAAGGAAGCAAGGAAGGAACUGAAGAAAUAUGGUCUCAUUUUCACUUGUAUGUGCUCUAGAGCCAUACAUAUUGAAAUGCUUGAUGAUCUCACUACAGAUGCCUAUAUCAAUGCAUUACGAAUAUUCAUGGCAAUACGUGGACAUGUAAGACAGUUAAGAUGUGAUCAAGGCACAAACUUCGUAGGUGCAAGAGGAGAGUUCAUGAACGCAAUGAAAAGGUUAAAUCCUGAACAGUUGAAGGAAUAUGGAUGUGAAUUCAUAAUGAACUUCCCAUCAUCAAGCCACAUGGGCGGCGUAUGGGAGAGGCAGAUUAGAAUGAUCAGAAGCGCUUUAACCACAAUCCUUGACCAGUCUGCUAAACGACUUGACAGUGCCUCGCUCAGAACCUUUCUGUACGAAGUGAUGGCUAUUAUUAAUAGCAGACCACUGACAGUUGAGCAUUUAAAUGACCCAACAAGUCAUGAACCUCUCACGCCCAAUCAUAUUCUUAUGAUGAAGUCAAACAUAAUAUUCCCGCCUCCAGGUGAAUUUGUGAGUCAGGAUCUAUACUUGCGCAAGAGAUGGCGCCAGGUGCAGUUCUUGGCAAAUGAAUUUUGGACAAGGUGAAAGAAGGAGUAUCUCCUUAAUCUUCAACAAAGACAAAUAUGGCAAAAAGAGAAGAGAAAUACAAAGGUCAACGACAUUGUCAUUCUGCAGGAAGACAGUUCGCCACAUAAUCAAUGGAGAUUGGCAAGAGUGACAGAAGUGUAUCCGAGCCCUGAUGGAAAGGUUCGAAAAGUGAAACUGCUAAUUAGUGACUCAACCUUAGACAGCCAGGGAAGACGUGUUUCCAAGCCAGUCUACCUUAAUAGGCCUGUACAGAAGACAGUUUUACUGCUUGAAGCAGAAUAAAUAUUAUUGUUGCCAGUUUAGGUUACUGUAAGGUAAAGGCAUACAGUAUGGUUGAAAUUAAGGUGUGAAAUUGUUGAAAUUGUGAGGUGAAAUGACAAAAUUGUCAUUUGGUGGGAGUAUAGCUGCCGUACAUAUUUCUUUCAAUUAAUAUGUUCUAUAAUUUACAUACAUAUUAUUUCUGUCGUUUUAACAUGUUUUUGUUAUGUUUGUUUAAAUUAAUUCAUGCAUAUUGAGUGCUUAUGUUAAGUAGGAACUAAAGUACAUAUGCGUUACACACGGACAUUUUUGAAAGGUGCAACAGGAAAAAACGGACUUUUGGCGAGAAGUUAAUAUCUCUGCAUGUGGAUUUAAAGUUACAAAGAAGUUGCAAAGAAGAAAGGAUGCUUUUCAUUUUUGUAUUUUGAUCGGGGUAUUUCAAGAACUCAUUCCCUCUUGGUUAUAUGCAGCCAGCGAGUUUGACGGUGGAUUUCAUUGACGGUGAACGUGAUAGCGGAGAAAAGAAUGAGAAAGGCAAUAAAUCCAUCAGUAUCCAGAA